ACCCGGAACCCAUACGAGAAGUGCCGAGACCGGUUCCACGCUUGCCAAGCAGCUUAAAAGAAGCCAACGUGGCGUGUAAUUGCUUCGAGGGAGACAAUGACGCCGCAGAAAUGGGAACGAACCCUCCCUCUAUCACCAGCUCCAAUCCAACCAGAUGAAAGUGACCAAAUAUAUCUUCAUGAAGAUAUGGGACUAUUGCUAUGGGAACAGGAAUAUGACACUGAGCUUCCUACAGACUCCAAGAUUCCAACCAGGUAAAUUCCUAUUGUGACACUACACCCGAUAUUUGUCAUAGUAAUAUUAUUAUGAUACGAUUAUGGCAUAAUUAUGAUGCAUUUUGUAAAAGAUGGGUCAUGUAAGGUGUUAUUGGAAAAGUUAUGAAUUGCUGUAUAUGAUUAUCCUAUUUAUAUGCAUGUAUCAUUUUUGUAUCUAAAGUUAUUAAUAUUGACUAUGUAUCUGUAUUUCAUAUGUAGUUACACCUGGGUGACACCCACUAGGCAAAAUGCUUCCAGUCUAAACAGCUGGUUGUGAAGGGCCUAUUCAGGGUAAUGGGCCAUUAGGAAAAACAAUAGGCUUUAGGGAGAAGCUUAUCCCCCACCUGGUGAGCCUUCCUAAGAAUGCUCCAGACAGCCCAUAAGUAAUGGCUGCUAUGAUUCUGCAAGGGCAUGUGACCAGAGCACAUGACUCUGGACUCAAUUUUGUAUUUGUAUUUUUCUACAAACUGGGCUGGGAACUGUUUUUAGAACAAUGGGUUCCCACCACAUGCUAAAGCUAUAUAAAGCAGGGAGUGACAUCUGUUGUUCUUCAUUCCCCCACAAUAACUCAACACCUAAGAGAAGCUCUGAAAGAAAAGGACUUUGAAUGGAGGUGGGGAUCCCAAGCUGCAAAGCAAGGGCAGCUUGUGCCUUGAGAAUCUGCAAGCCUGCUUUUAUCAGUAGGUCCCUACCAAAUUCACAGUCCAUUUUGGUCAAUUUCACAGUCAUAGAUUUUAAAAAUUGUAAAUUUCAUUAUUUCAGAUAUUUAUAUCUGUAUUUCACGGUAUUGUAACUGUAGGGGUCCUGACCCAACUCUGAAGGCAGCAGCACAGAAGUAAGGGUGGUAUGGUGUAGUAUUGCAACCCUUACUUCUCUACUGCUGCUGGUGGAGCACUGCCUUCAGAGCUGGGCACCUGGCCAACAGCCACUGCUCUUUGGCCACCCAGCUCUGAAGGCAGCACAGAAGGGUGGUAAUACUGCAACCCCCCCUGCCGCCUUUCACCAGUAAUCUUGCGACUUCCCCCCACAAUUGUCUUUUGGUUUGGGAUCCCCAUUUGAGAAACAUUGGUCUCCCCCGUGAAAUCUGGUCUUUUGUGUAUUUUUACCCUAUACUAUACAGAUUUCACGGGGGAGACUAGUUUUCACAGUCCAUGAUGCAUUUUUCACAGCCAUGAAUUUGGUAGAACCCUAAUCAUUAGUCAGGGUGAGAAACUGCUAAUUCAUAUCCAAUCUUUCUCGUAUGUUAGGUUUAGAUUGUGGUUGUUUAUUUGCUAGGUAAUCUGCUUUGAUCUUUUUGCUAUCACUUAAAAUCUAUCUUUUUGUAGUUAAU